GAGAUCCAGCAAAAUCUUUCACCAAACAUCUACAAUUAACAACAAAAAGACUGCCAGCCCCUGCAAUUGUGGUUUCUCUGCAGUGUUUGAGAAGCAGAGGUACAGAGGUAUAAACCUGGCAGGUAUUGCUUUAAAAAGUCACUUCAUCACUGUCAAGUCCUUUUUACGUUGAGGUCGUCUGUGAUCUACAUCUGACUCCAUGGACGACAGCCUCUCGACGUAUCUAUCCACAUCAUUACACAACUCCCCUAAGCACAAAGAACCAUCUCAAUUAUUCUAAAUGUUCAACCAAUGUCUUGUUCCCCAGUGUAGUGUGGGUAAUGAAAUCUAUUACUCAGGACAUCUUGUGUUGUUCCCAUCCUGUUUUUUUUGUUCCUUGGUAUCUCACUCCUCUUUUCAUAGCCUUCUAAUUGAGGGUUCUCUUGUUUGAGUCCAUUGAACAUAACCCCCAAACCCAGGUAGACUUUUGAUGUGCUGAUGUUGCUGCCAUGCUGUUUUAAUGUGCAUCACGAAGAAAAAGCUGUAAAUGUGUGUACAGUAAACUGAGAAGCAAUUUUUAUUGUGAACAUGUGAAUGCGCCAUUGUGUACAAUUAGGAAAAAUGAAAAGAAGCUUUAUUAUCUCCUAGUGUGCUCUCAUAGUUUUCAAACAGCGGAACAGUGAUUUGAUCUAAGUGCAACUGAAUGAAAGGGCAUUAUCUGACUUUUCAAUAUAAGAUAAGGAAAAUAGAUCGUUACGCAUUGAACAAGUACGCGGAGGCAGUCCUACAUGUACUUUAUAGAGUUUUCUGGGCACGUCCGUGUGGAAGGACACUCUGGGAUAGACUCCGAACACUAGGCAGAUUGGAUUUCUUAUCUAGCUUGGGAAGACCUUGCUGGGAAGAGGAAUGCUGGAUUUCUUUACAGUGCCAGCUACUACCUCAAUGUGGCCCUGGAUAAAUGGAUUGGAUGGAUGGCCUGAUGGAUGCUGGUGUAAUGACAAGGUCUAGGAUAAAGGACAAGUGGCUGGAUGACUACAGAAAACAACAAACUCAGCUGUCUGUGAACAGCAGAGGCAAUCCUGUCACACUAUCGACUGAGAAAGGAUUAAAAUCAUCAGGCUCGAAUCAGAGAAAGGCCCGAGCCUUUAUGAUGUAAACACUGCCAGAUCAUGGUCUGUGAUGUGAUACAACACAGCCUGGCACAACGCUGGAGCACAGCUAUAAUAAAGUAACAGCCCUCCUGCACAAAUCCAGCACAUAUGUGGAUGACUAUACUGCAUCUUGUUAACAUAUUGUAGUGCAUAUUGUACUAGACUUUAUAUAAAAAAUGAAUGUAGCCUUGGGUUUGAAAAGUGAAGGCAAUGCAGAAGUGCAUAAACCUGCACUAGCACACUUUUUUCUAAUAGAUAAAAUGGACAAAUACUUUGGCUUUAAAAAUAAAGAUUGU